rnacentral:rRNA from 1 species
GUAGGGAAUAUUGGGCAAUGGAUGCAAGUCUGACCCAGCCAUCCCGCGUGCCGGAAGAAGGCCCUCAGGGUUGUAAACGGCUUUUGACGGUGAAGAAUCGACAGGAUGUGUCCUGUUUUGACGGUAGCCGUUGAAUAAGCACCGGCUAUCUCCGUGCCAGCAGCCGCGGUAAUACGGAGGGUGCGAGCGUUGUCCGGAUUUAUUGGGUUUAAAGGGUGCGUAGGCUGGAAGGUCAGUCAGCGGUGAAAAGCUGUCGCUUAACGAUAGUCUUGCCGCAGAUACUUCCUUUCUUGGAUGAGGAGGAGGCCACUGGAACGGAUGGUGUAGCGGUGAAAUGCAUAGAUAUCAUCCAGAACACCGAUUGCGAAGGCAGGUGGCUGUACCUUAAUCGACGCUGAUGCACGAAAGCAUGGGGAGCAAACAGGAUUAGAAACCCGGGUAGUCC